rnacentral:tRNA from 1 species
GCAUUCGUUGUGUAGUGGUCAACACCCUCGACGAGUAACCGAGAGGUCCGUGGUUCGAUUCCCGGCGAAGGCG